GUUGAUCUCACCUUGCAACAGCAGAUAUUAUAGGCUUUGCAAACUGUCCAGAUCCCAGUGGGUAUAAUUUUCAGGCUGGCUAAUUCUCUGGGCUCGAGUGAUGCCACUCAGAGGCUCUGAGCCAGCUGAGGGGAGGGGGUGGCGUGCCACACACAGGAAGGGGUCUGAGUCAGGGCUCCCGAGAGCAAGGACCUCCUUCCUUCUUCUGGACACCGCUCCUUGCAAGCCUGCUCCCAUUGCUGAUGCCCACCUACCCGCAGUUAGGUCCUGUCCUUUCUCAGCUGAGACAGGAGGGACAGGUGGCCCGUGCCGGAAGCAGUGGCUGUGGCACAGGAGAAGGGGGGAGAUCCUGGUAGAGAGCCCAGAGCUGCAAUGUGACAAACAGGAGGCCAGGUAUUAACAGCGGUUUUCCCUAUUCUUGGGACCCAAGCCUUUUGUGAAAUGGUGCAAGGAAGAUGUGUAUUCAAAUCUUGGCCCAGUGAAUUGGGUAUUGUCAGGAAAUAACAGAAAGUUUUGAGGAUUUAAACAUCCUGGACCCUAUCCUGCUGCUGUGAACGUAAAGGAAGAGCUUUUUCUUGCCAGAGGCUGAAAAUAAGGCUGCAAAAGGAAAUCAGCUGGGGAGCAUGUACCUGCUUCAAGAGCAAACUAGAAACUUACUGAGUUACGGUGCUGAAUGGAGGCAGCCCAUGCUCCGUCUUCCUCUGCCAGGAGUGGACAAAAAUGCUCAAGUUGUCUUCAUAAACAGAAAGUCCAAACCCUAACAAUAUCCCUUUUUAUUUCUUAAUUCUCGCUUAACAUGCCAGUCAAAAGCUAAGCGAAGCCUAUAUGCAGCUCAGUGAUUGGGCAAAGCCUGAUCUGUAAAAGCAAACUGCUUGCCAAAGCUGUGGAAAAUAAAAACAAGGGAGAGUUUACACAGUAGAAAAGUGAAAACUAAUGAAACCUGGAGAUUUGCUUCAACAGUUUUUCAUUGUGCUGUUGGCAGAUGGUUCCUCUUCUUCAGGAACCGGGGCAGGAGCAGUGCAUUUGUCCCACAGGCAGAACGGCUGGGGGGCACCGUGGAAACUUGACACACACUGAGCUGCUUUCUCCAAGCUGGAACACAGAGUGAAGUGAGAAGACGUAGGAGGCACGUAGGGAUGUUGCCAUUUUGUGGGGCCAACGUGUACAUAGCUGGUGUACUGUGAGGCAAAUACCCCUGUUCUGAAUACGUUGAGCUGCACUACACGGCUCUUCUGAUUUUCCAGAUUUUGCUUGCUCCAGACACAUAAAGGAGCAGCUGCUGCUCAUGUGUGCAUGCAAUGUUGCGCAUUGAGGAGUUGAGGACACGUCUUGGCAAAUGGCAAGAGCCUUAAGUUUGCAGGUAAAAUGCCACAGAAAGGAAAUGAACAGAUAAGCUCAACUGAAAACAUGAGAAGGUGUUUGUUUUAAUGUUCUGUUCGUGACUGUUCAAAGUAGGGCAAAGCACUGCUUGAAAAUCAUACUAAAGAAAGAUUUAAAAAUCUGACACGGGGUUUCUCUGUAUUUUCCUUUUAAAAAAUUACCCUUGGGCAGGAAUUCAGUGGUCUGCAGUCAGUCAAAAAGGCCAGUCUGCUCCAGAAGUGCUCCUUCCUGGAAUACAGCUUUUAAAUGGACACAUUCACAAACCGUUACUAAGAGUAUCAAAACUGGUAGAGGAGACUUCACCCCUCUGCGAUCAUAAUUCCUUCCCUUAUCCAGAAAGCAGGUCCAUUUAAAAGGAGGUGUAAAGGAGCAUGACAUUGCUCUUCCAACACACCUCACCCCUGAUCUGCAAGCUUUCAGAGGAGGGUUCAUCCCCUGUGCCCAUUCAGUCCAUGGCCUCCAGCUGUGGGUGCCAACAGUGAGAACAAGUAGAGCCAAGUGGGAUGACAGCUUCUGUGCUGUGCUCCUUGGCCCACUAGAAGCUGGAUGGUGAGACAGCAAUAAAGAUGUCUUUGUCAACCCUUGAGCCUAGAUCCCUAGCAAAACACCAGCAACAAAUGACUGAAUCCUGUACGUUUGUGCUCGUAUUCAUAGCAAUGACCUGAGGAAGAAGAGGUGGCUCUGAACAGGCAGUACACACCUCUGACUGGUACAGCAGAGCAUCUCUGAUGUGGUCUAAACUCAGGGCGUGUGAUCCCUGCCUAGUCCUCCUCUGUGAGGUGGGAGUCACACACAGCAGAGCUAGCAACAGUAAUAUUAUUUGUUCAAAUAUCACUGGCCAUAGUUGCAGAACUUCUGUUAGUGAAUGGUUGAUGGACCAGCCAGAGCUGUGUUGAGCAUGUUCACAACUUUUUGGCUUAUUUUUACUUCUGGCUGCUAAUGAUUUAGGGUCAUGAUUUUCAUCUUGUGCCUAAUUUAUGAGCUGUUUGAGCUGACGGUUUCCUAUUUGCCAUUCGCCCCUCGUGGUAUUCAGCCGAUCACCUAAACCACACACUAAUCCUUCUGUUUUCCUUUGGAUGGGUGAAACUCGUCAAAGAGAACAGUAAACAAGGAAAUACUGACGUGACCAUAUAAACAGUCGUGUUUUUAUGUGCAGACGGACAUUACAAAGAAUAACUAACCUCUCCAACAAUAGGCAACCAUUGCUUCCCUAAGCAAAAUGCAUAAGAGACAGCCUGGAAAGAGAAAUCAGAUGGAAUUUAAACAAAUAAUCACCAAAUCUGUUUUUUGACCUUCUCUAUUUAUUGGCACCCUCACCUUUUGCUCAUGUUGGAAUCUUUUUGGAGAUAAUAUUCAUGUGUGUUCUUAUUGCUAAUGUGAGAUUUCCUGACGAAUUCUCAUAGCACUCACACGGGAGGGGGGAGAGGUUCACAUUAAAAAUCCUAACUAGUUAUUAGGUUAUUAUUUUGAUCUGUAAUGUGUGCUCUUACUAGCCAAAAAUCAAAUGAACUUUAGACAAGGUUCUGACCGACAUGCAAUAAUGAGACCUGACAUUUGAAAGUUAUUAAGUAGUUUAAUUUUAAAGGUGAGCCAUCUCAUGAAACACACGUAACUUCCUCCCAUGCUUAGAGCUGCAUCGGCACUCAAGUCCUUCACCAGAACAGGAACAAUCUUUUUUAUUUUUUUUUUUGAAGGUGAAUCCCCACCUCUCCCCAGAUAGCCU
ensembl:lncRNA